GACUUUCUCCAAAAUCAAGAAGUUUCAAAACAACAAGGCAAGCUUUCCGCUCUUUGAUGCUUUGGGAGCACUCUAUGAUGGUCAUCUGGCUGAAGGGACAUACAAUUUUACUUCUAUUGAGUCACAACGUGUGGAAGAGCCCCUUCAACAAAUUGAUGUUGUAGAGGAAGAAGCCCUACAGGAAAUUCAUAAGGUACAUGAUGAAGAGGAUGAAGAAAAGGAUGCAAGAGAUAAAGAAGAGGAGGCAAGAAGUGGACAACGAAGAAUGGCUGCAUCAAGAAAGAAACCAGAAAAGGAAGGGCAAAGGCCUAGAAAGAGUGCAAAAAUUGAAGCUAUGAUGGAGAGAUUCCUUGAAAUGAGGACAAAGCAAACAGAAGAUGAAGCUCAACAGCUAGCAAGAGAAAAUGAGCCAAAAGAUAAGGAGGCUGCUAAAGGUGAUGAAUACUCCAUCAAAAGGUGCAUAUCGAUUAUCAACACAAUGGAAGUG